CGAUGCGGGAAGUGCGGACGCCGUAGAGGCCUGAAGCGGAGGUCGCAGGCAGGGUCCCCGGCCGCGGCCAUGGCGGAGAGGCCUGAGGACCUAAACCUCCCAGCGCCGUCAUCACCGGAAUCAUCCAGGAGGCGCUCCGGGACGGUGUCAGCAUCUCCACCUCCCGCGCCGCCAGCGUCUCUGUGCUCAGUGCCACCUCCUGUGCCAACAGCUUCGCGAUGAGAGGGAAAGUCAAGACACUGCCAUGGAGGAGACGGAGUUUCAGCGGUUCGUUACCCCGUUAAAAGAAGCUCUGGAAGGUUACAGGAGGGAGCAGAAAGGCAAGAAGGAAGCUUCAGAGCAAAAGAAGGACAAAGACCAGACAAAACUGAUUUGGAAGAGCAGGACAAGCGCAGGGAUGAGGACAACGAUAAAGAUGAGGAGCGGCUGAAGGAAGGAGAACAGAGUGACGAGAGAAAGUGGACGACUGAAGAGGAUGGCGAGGCGCCCCUUGGAAGGAACCACGCUGAACCCUGGUACACGUUUGUGUGAGGCUUCUUGCUGCUGGGCAGAGGAGUCUUAGACAGAAGAGCCUGAGAAGAUCGAAAUAAAAACUGAAUUAUCAUCAGGAUUAUCAUCAAAGCCAAUGCUUCCCAGACGCAGAGCAUCUGAGUAGCAGAAUCCUGUUUUGUUUAAUCAGUCUCAAGGUUAUAACUUUUCGGCAAGAGGGAUUCUGAAUGGCUAGUUUAAUUGGUCAAUUUCAUCUCUUUUGUUUACAUACAGGAAGCUGCCAUGUUGGGAGCUCCGUGUGGACGCCCACGGGAAGAAGCGGAGGCCUUCCGUCCAGCAGCCCGUGAGAAACUGAGGCCUGCCUGCGGCCACACACCUGAGCAGAAAGCAGAUCGAUCCUCCCCCAGCGGAGCCAGCAGGAAGCUGCCAUGUUGGGAGCUCCCUGUGGACGCCCACGGGAAGAAGCGGAGGCCUUCCAUCCAGCAGCCCAUGAGGAACUGAGGCCUGCCCGCAGCCACACACCUGAGCGGAAAGCAGAUCAAUCCUCCCCCAGCUGAGCCAGCAGGAAGCUGCCAUGUUGGGAGCUCCCUGUGGACGCCCACGGGAAGAAGCAGAGGCCUUCGGUCCAGCAGCCCGUGAGGAACUGAGGCCUGCCUGCGACCACACACCUGAGCGGAAAGCAGAUCGAUCCUCCCCCAGCGGAGCCAGCAGGUGAGACGGCAGCCCCGUCCCACACCUGACAGCCAGCUCAGCCACGGCCAGAUCCUGACCCGUGGAGGCUGGGCGAUGACACAUGUUGUUUGGGGUGAUGUACUUCACAACAGAGAAUGAAUACACACCACUAAUACGAGUCAGACAUUUGAAGGCCCAUCCGAGACCUCUUCCUGGGCAUUUAUAUGCUAGCAACUAAACCCUCAGAGGAGGUACCUUUGCAUAGAAAUUUUAAGAGGGUCCAGACAAAUCAUAUAAACGUAGAGCUCAACUUGUUCCUAAAGCUCCUUUAUCCAACAUUCUCAGCUUACAGCUGGGAAACUGAGGAACUGAGCCUUUCUCCGAGCCCCCGUGACAUUUGGGAAGGGCCAGGACCUCAGCCUAAUCUGUUUCUCCAUCUAAAGUGUCUACAGAGCUUCAUCCUCACUUCCCUUGCUAUUUAAGGCAGAAAUGAUGCUCUUGGGUUUUGCUCACUAACAUGUUUUAUAUAAAUGGCCUCCACAUGUUAUGCAGUGAUGAAUAUUUGAUGCAAAAGAAGAGGCCCAACAGUACUUGCUCCUUGAUGUUCGCAGUGAAGUUGCUCUGUAUCUCUUUGUAGCCUUUGCUCUCCCCCUCAUGCCCCGGCAGCAACGGAUGGACAUGAAUGGAGUUGUUGGGAGCCCUGGAUAAUGGGAUGCCCAGACGCUUUCUGAACAGAAAAUUGCCACCAGGCCACACACAGGCACGAGGAAAGGGGCUAGUUAUAAGAGCUAGACUGAUGGCUUACCAUCCAGAGAACUGGGCUUCCCAGGUGGCACAGUGCUAAUGAAUCCCCCUACCGAUGCAGGGGAUACAAGAGACAUGGAUUCGAUCCCCGUGUCUAGAAGAUCCCCUGGAGGAGGAAAUGGCUACCCACUCCACCAUCCUCCCCCGAAUAAGUCCAUGGAUAGAAGAACCUGGCCAGCUGUAGUGGAAGGGAAUCACAAAUACUGGGACACUACUGAACACACCACCUGUUCAGUACUUGGCCCCCUGAUGUGAAGAACUGACUCAUUGGAAAAGACCCUGAUGCUGGGAGGGACUGGGGGCAGGAGGAGAGAUGGCUGGAUGGCACCACCGACUUGAUGGACAUGGGUUUGAGCAAGCUCCAGGAGUCGGUGAUGGACAGGGAGGCCUGAUGUGCUGCAGUCCGUGGGGUGGCAAAAAGCUGAACACAACUGACCUGAACUGAACUGAACGCACACACGCGCGCACACACAGCCAGAGAACUGCAGACAUCUUGUAGCUCCUGGGAUGUAGAAAGUGGUUCAGAAGAAUAAGGAGAAUUUUUCAGGGUCCCAAGGAAUCCUCAAAAUAUGAAAUGAAAAACAGGGGCCUCUUUGCAGAAAACAGUUAAUAAAUUAUCAAGCAACUUUUCUCUUGAGCCUCAUUCAUAAGUUGUAAUAUCCGCAUGUGGCCACAGGAGGGCAGCAUUUACCACGAUUUAAAGCUGAAUCUCCAGGUCGUCCUCUGAAGACUAACCCUUAAGAUACUUUAUCCGCCAAAAGAAAUUUUUUGAGAAAUAUCAACUGAGGUUUCCAGCUUUUACUUUUUAAAGGCACAAAUAAUAGCCAUCAUAUGCUUCAGAUCCCUCUGAGAUAACCAGUGUUAUCAAACUCCAGCACCCUCCAAAACCUUUUGUAGUUUGCUUUCUCACAGAAAAAUGCAAGCAGAGUUAUUAAGAUGUGGAAAAUUAAAAAGCAGAGAAGGAAGCAAUAGAGGGAGGGGAAGAGAGAAAGGAGAAGAGUAAGAGAAGUCUGAGAACCAUUACGGCUUUCCUGUUCCCUGGGGAUCCAAGGGCUCUGGUUUAGAGAAACCCUAAUUUUAGCCAAAGGAGCCCAGCCUUCUCGCCACGGUAGGGUCAUCCCGUUUUCCUUUGCAAAGUAGGACAGACAUUCUUCCUUGGAUGGAACUUUCUAACCUAGCCUAUGUUUGGGAAGUGCUAAACAUGCAUGUGUUAAGGAAAUUAUCUAGCUCAGGGAAUUUUCUCAUCACAUGUUCUUGGCCAAUGAAAAUUGUUUUGGAGUUGGAGUGGCGGUACUUGGCAUCUGCUGAAUUUGUGUCUACCUACAUUUUGAUGACAUAAGCUUAGAGGGAGGAGACAUCAGGUCAGUUCAAGGCAAGAUGACCUAAUCAUCUUGACCAGACUGUACUACGCUUCAGGUCAGGGACUUCAUGUUGCAUGUCAUUUUUUCCUCCAGUGCCAGUGUAGAGCUUGGCACAUGGUGUAAAUGAGACGAUGAUAAUGCAUUAAAAACAGAUGUGCUAAGACGCUCCUGGUGAAUAAGGCGUAUUAAUUUUCCAGUGUCUGUGGCCCAAGGUAUUGUGGAAAUGGGCAACGUACUGUAUAUUCAUUUGUAUAUGAUCUGUGUUUAAUUCCCAAGUUAAGAUUUUAAUAGUCAACAAAAUUCAGAGGAUUGGAAAAGGAAUAUUGUUCAUAUUGCUCUGUAAAGAAAUAGAAGAUAUAUUCUCCUAUUUCAUUACAAAGGUCCACUCUGGGGGCUGGUAAAAUAUUGGCCACAUAUUGGCCACGCCGUUGCCUGCAGUAAAAAUAUUGGCCACCAGACAGAGGAAUUGCCUUGUGUGUGCUUAGCCGCUCAGUCGUGUCCCACGCUUUGCCGCCCCGUGGGCUGUAGCCCGCCAGGCUCCUCUGUCCAUGGGGAUUCUGCAGGAAGAGUACUGGAGUGGGUUGCCAUGCCCUCCUCCAGGGGAUCUUCCCAACCCCAGGACUGAGCUCAGGUCUUCCGAAUUGCAGGCGGAUUCUUUUCCAUCUGAGCCACCAGGGAAGCCCGGCUGCCUUUCUGUUUAUCUCUCCUCUGCCGCUGUGUCCCUUCGGAUGGGUCACUGAGUGCUGGUCUCUGCUGAUGAGACUAAAUGGCCUUCAAAUUCAUUUUAAUUACUAAACCUGGGAAGAGGAAAAAAUAAUGGACAGAAUGAUAGAGUUACAGCCAGACUCUUCACCUCUGAGUUCAUCUGAGACUCAGUUUGAUUUUAUUGGAGGAGACAGAGAAGGAAACACAGUUUCAGAAGCUCAGUUCCUAUUUCUAACAGAAUCAGUGAGCUAGAAGGUGAGGUGCUUCCCGCCCUGGCUGGAGUCUUAUCUGUCUCCCUGUUCCGUGGGGCCAUCAGUAAGACGUGGCUGAGGGUUUCUUGCUUGUGGAAGAGAGAACUGAGCUUUGAGCAUGUUACACAGGGGAUGAAAGGGGUUUCCAGAGGUGAAUUAAAUGUCUAUCUUUUAACCAGGAACUAUAUUCAAUAUCCUGUGCUAAACCAUCCUGGAAAAGAAUAUUAAACAAAGAAAAUGUCAGGGAGAAAAAAAGAGAAGUCUGUCAUUCAACCAGCCCUGACCCUGUUUUCAAUACCACAAAGGAGAGAGCUUGAUCAGGUACGAAAAGGUAGCAACAAGGACUUCCCUGAUGGUCCCGUGGUAAUACUCAACACUUCGAAGGCAGGGGGCACGGGUUCAAUCCCUGGUCCUGGAACUAAGAUCCCACAUGCUAUGCAUCACAGCCGAACAAAAAAAAAAGAGAGAAAGGCAGCAGCAACUGCCUAGAUCCAAUCAGACAGAGUUGAACCUGCAGUGAACAUAAAGUGUCAAACCUGGAUCCAAAUAAAUGAACAGCGGUGAUUCAGCCAAAUGCACGCCCCGCUCCUCCCAC
ensembl:lncRNA